AGCGAACGCUGGCGGCGUGCCUAACACAUGCAAGUCGAACGUGAAAAGGGAAACCUGAGUACAGUGGCGUACGGGUGAGUAACGCGUAGGUGAUCUACCCCAGAAUCUGGAAUAACCUGCCGAAAGGCGGGCUAAUACUGGAUAGAGCGAGGGAACUCGUAAGAGAGUUUUUCGGGAAAGGGAGCCCGCAAGGGCCUUCGUUCUGGGAUGAGCCUGCGUCUCAUUAGCUAGUUGGUAAGGUAACGGCUUACCAAGGCGAUGAUGAGUAGCUGGUCUGAGAGGAUGAUCAGCCACACUGGAACUGAAACACGGUCCAGACUCCUACGGGAGGCAGCAGUGGGGAAUCUUGCGCAAUGGACGAAAGUCUGACGCAGCCACGCCGCGUGAGUGAAGAAGGCCUUCGGGUUGUAAAGCUCUGUCGGAUGGGACGAACAUCUUCAUAGUGAAUAGCUAUGAGGACUGACGGUACCAUCAAAGGAAGCACCGGCUAACUCCGUG
rnacentral:rRNA from 1 species